rnacentral:lncRNA from 1 species
UUUGAGCUCACACAAUUUAUUAGAAUCUCUUGGGAUCAAAAGCUGAGAGCAUUCAAGCUCACAUUUACAGCCUUGUUCGGGUCACUUGCGAGCCUGACCCAGUUUUCUUUGGGCACAAACCAAACUAACUAUAAACAUAAAUAAACACAAAUGUAAUGAACUACAGCAUGGAGUAAAUAUUCACGAUUUUAUUAAGAAAAUGUUAUAAUGCUCAUGACUUUACAUGUUAAGCAGAGGAAGAAAUAUCGAGCAGAUUUAAACCAAUCUGAACUGAAUUUGAAUCCAAAACCACACUUUCAAAGAUUGAAAAAGAAAUGAAUAAUGCAGAAAUGAUGUAAAUAAACACUCUAUCUAUUCUUUAUAUAUUGUAAAUCACUAAUGAAAUGGAGGUCCAUGCCUUAAACUUUAUAAAGAAUCGAGGAAGAGAUGAGGAAGGACAAGCCAGGCUGGUUAAUUCAUGCUAAAUAGUCGAAAGCUCUUUAUGGUCUAAAUUCAAACUCAAAAUAACCAUGGUAGCAAUUUUAUCUAUAAUAGAGUUUUUUGUCAAACACAACCAAACCCUCACUUACCAAGCUCCCAACAGUUUUCUGUGAAGAAAUAGAAAUGGUCUUGCCAGUAAACUUGUAAGAAACAUAUAGUCAGCAAGUUACAAUCUUAAAAGAAAUAAACCAACGAGUACACAGGGGAAUCAAUCUGAAUCUUUCACAUCUUCAACAUUUAAACUUGGUGCUCAAGGUUUCAGUGUAGCACCUGAAUAUAGCAAUCAAUAACACAUGAAAAUGAGAUUAGGAUUCAGCAAAAGUGAGAGAUUCAAUAACAGCACCAAGUCACCACUUCGACACUUCAAUUCACAACUUUUUUAGGCAAUUUUUCAGCCCAAAUCAACCGAAAAUCAUUCGAAAUUUUUGAAUUAUUACUAACUAUGGAAGCAAAGGACAACUUAACUCAAAUUUGAACCAAAAAAUGCAGGGUUUCUCUAUAUUUUCAGAGUAUGAACGGCUGCCAAUAUGAAGAGAAAGAGACCUUUAUAUAGGCAUGCCUAAGGCAGCCCUAGCCUAACUGACCAUUUCCCAUUUUACCCCUUUUAAUUCAUGAUCAUUUUACC